rnacentral:rRNA from 1 species
GCCCAGAGUAAAUUUGGAUUAAUACCCCAUUAAUAUAUUUGAUAAGGCAUCUUAUUAAUAUUAAAGCUUCGGCACUUGAUGAUGGGUGUGCGGCUGAUUAGAUAGUUGGCGGGGUAACGGCCCACCAAGUCUACGAUCAGUAGCUGAUGUGAGAGCAUGAUCAGCCACACGGGCACUGAGACACGGGCCCGACUCCUACGGGAGGCAGCAGUAAGGAAUAUUGGACAAUGGACGAAAGUCUGAUCCAGCCAUGCCGCGUGAAGGAUUAAGGUCCUCUGGAUUGUAAACUUCUUUUAUAUGGGACGAAAAAAGGGCAUUCUUGUUCACUUGACGGUACCAUAUGAAUAAGCACCGGCUAACUCCGUG